GGGGCGGUGAGGGGAGCAGAGGACAGCGGCUGACCCAGGGUGGGGACAGCACAGCCCGGGGGGGCCUGGCAGCCACCUGCCUGCCGUGGUGCCCCCGGCUGGAGCAGCAUCCCCACGGGACGCUGAUGAACGGAGCUCCGGGCUCCGUUAUCCCUCGGUGGGACGGCCCGGGGGGCGGCGCAGGAAAGGAGGCCCCUGGGGAAGCAGCUUUGUUGCUUCCUCACGCUGGGUUGUGAUCCAGGCCAGCGUUCCCAGCUCCCGGCGUCACACCCUCUCCCAGCUGUUGCCUCGCCGAGCAUCGCGGGCGCUGCCAAGAAAACCUUUGGUGAUGGAUGCAGCUCCCGCCCCGCUGCCUUAAAAGCGGCGGGGAGCGGCACCGGGCCUGUGUCUGUCCCGGCACGCCGGGAUCCGCCUGGGAAUGGGAUCCGCUGGCACCCAGGGCACCCCCAGCUCGUCCUGCCCAGCCUGGAGCAGUGGGACAGCGUUGGCACCGCACGAGCUCAUGCCCUAGGCCGGUGUGGAGGGAGCUGCCGCUGUGCCCUGGGGCGCUGAAUUGUCACCUGUCCCCAUCCCGACAGAGAGGAGAGAGGGGCAGAUCCCUGGCUGCAGAUCCCAGCUCCCCAGGAUCACACGGAUC
rnacentral:lncRNA from 1 species